UACGGGGGGGAGCAAGCGUUGUUCGGAUUUACUGGGCGUAAAGGGCGCGUAGGCGGCCACCACAAGUCGACUGUGAAAUCUCCGGGCUUAACUCGGAAAGGUCAGCCGAUACUGCGGGGCUAGAGUGCAGAAGGGGCAACUGGAAUUCUCGGUGUAGCGGUGAAAUGCGUAGAUAUCGAGAGGAACACCUGCGGCGAAGGCGAGUCCCUGGACAGGUCCUGACGCUGAGGCACGAAAGCUAGGGGAGCAAACAGG
rnacentral:rRNA from 1 species